GAUACAGGCCCUCUGGGCCUCUUGUUGUUAUUUAUUUUGCUGAUUUUGUAUUUAUGAAAUGAUUAUCUUUUUUUGAUCAGGGGUAAUAAAUAUUGAUAUUCCGUGGUGUUCUAUGUAUUUGGUUUUAAAAAAGGCUAGUCUUAAAAUUUCAAGUGUUAAGUGGUGAGAGCAGGAGUUGGACAUCAGUUGAUGUGAUUAGUGGUGAGGGCGGGAGUCAGACAUCAGUUGAUGUGAUUAGUGGUGAGGGCAGGAGUCGGACAUCAGUUGAUGUGAUUAGUGGUGAUAGUAGGAGUCAGACAUCAGUUGAUGUGAUUAGUGGUGAGGGCAGGAGUCGGACAUCAGUUGAUGUGAUUAGUGGUGAGGGCAGGAGUCGGACAUCAGUUGAUGUCAUUAGUGGUGAGGGCGGGAGUCGGACAUCAGUUGAUGUCAUUAGUGGUGAUAUCAGGAGUCGGACAUCAGUUGAUGUCAUUAGUGGUGAGGGCAGGAGUCGGACAUCAGUUGAUGUGAUUAGUGGUGAUAUCAGGAGUCGGACAUCAGUUGAUGUGAUUAGUGGUGAGGGCAGGAGUCGGACAUCAGUUGAUGUGAUUAGUGGUGAGGGCAGGAGUCGGACAUCAGUUGAUUUGAUUAGUGGUGAGAUGAGGAGUCGGACAUCAGUUGAUGUGAUAAGUGGUGAGGGCGGGAGUCGGACAUCAGUUGAUGUGAUUAGUGGUGAGAUCAGGAGCCGGACAUCAGUUGAUGUGAUAAACAUGAUAUGGGAUAAUCUGGCAAUAUCUUUGUAGUCAGUUGUGAUGUGAAUAGUGUAAUAAUAAGUAUGUGCUGAAUUUUGUUAUGUAAGUAUGACGUUGUAUCUAUUUAUAUAGUGAAGGUUGUGAUGUACACCUGUUUGAUGUUUCUACAUUAAUCAAUGUGUGUAGAAUAUAUUUUGUUAUCAUUUGUUACAUGUCAUAUAUUAUAUAUAUCUAUUAAAUGUUGCAAUGAAAACUGA